rnacentral:rRNA from 1 species
UACGUAGGUGGCAAGCGUUGUCCGGAUUUAUUGGGUUUAAAGGGUGCGUAGGCGGCUUUGUAAGUCAGUGGUGAAAUAUGUCAGCUUAACUGUGAGGGUGCCAUUGAUACUGCAGAACUUGAGUACAGAUGACGUAGGCGGAAUUGACGGUGUAGCGGUGAAAUGCUUAGAUAUCGUCAAGAACACCUAUAGCAAAGGCAGCUUACUAGGCUGUAACUGACGCUGAGGCACGAAAGUGUGGGGAUCAAACAGG